ensembl:lncRNA
GAGGAGGAGGAGAAGGAGGAGGGCAGGGGAUGAUGAACAGCAGGUGUUGGUGCUCACUGGGAGGAGCUGUUAAUUGAACUGGUCUGGAUGGCUGUUGGGUGAGGCCUCACUACUGGAGCCAAGUGGCACUAUAAAAACCCAGGGAACAGGGGUGUGCCAAGUAUUGCUGUGGUGUUUGGGGUGUGUGUAUGGCCUUCUUUGGAGGAUUGGGAACUGGAUUGUGCUGGUUGGAGCUCAGGCACCUUCACUGGGCUGGUCUCAAGGAGGAAUGCUGAGAGGAGCAGGAUGGGAAGGAGCCCAAGGGCUGAGGGUGUCAGCUCUGGCACAGUGCAGGGGUGGAGGUGGAAUUUGGAGCUCUGUAAGAAGUAUCCAGGUGUUGCAGCCUGGCAGGAGAUGGGAUAUGGUGUUUGUUUCUAUGCUGCAGACAUUACCCAAAAGGAGAAGGGCAACUUCCUCUCCUUGUGUCUUCCAGCUUGCAUCUCAGUGCAUUUGGGAUGGCUUGAGAAACACAGAGAAGAUGAGGGAGCUGCACUGCCUGACUUCAGCCUCCCAGUGUCUAGUGCCAAGAAGAGGAAGGAGAGCACAGUAACAGGGGAGCAGAGCACAGGAUCAUUCUCCAGCCCCAACCUCCCUGGGAGGAGGAGGACACUUCCCAUUGCACACCCGAGCUGCAGCAUCAUCUACUGGCUUGCUCCUUCCAUUCACCCCAGCUAUACCCCUGAGGAUCCUUCUCAGUCAGUGCAGGAUCACUGCUAAUUCUCAUUCUCCAUGAGUUGGCUGUGAUAGCAGUGAUGCCCGCAGCCCCCCGGGAGCUGCCAGCCCUGCUGCUGGAGCCGUGGUGUGUCUGCAGGGCGCCCGGCGGGUCAGCAUCUAAGCAGACAAGAUGGAUGCACAGCACAGCUGAAAGAAACACAGCGACUCCUGUUUCAGAGGCAGGAGAAAUGGAGCAGAAAAAAAGAUGAAGGCCCCGAUCUCCACCGUGGAAAGUUUUGCUGACAAAAGUUUGAGUGCAUCCAUGAACUGGGGAAUUCCCUGGUUGGGAGUGAACCAGGCAGCAGGGUCAGGGUUCCCCCAUGUGCAGUGCCUGGUGCUGCUGUUACAGGGAUGUCUGGGCUCAGGGCACUGAGAUGUGCAGCCACUGCUGGUCCUAGCUCAUGCCAGAGCUCUAGUGCUCCCACUGCAGCAGGGAGGGCAGAGCCAGGUGGAAGGUGUCCAGUGCUGAGUGGGUAGGCACUGAGCCUAGGGAUGGGUGCUAGGGGCAGGACUCUCUCCUCUAGAAAGCAGGGGAUGCCAUUUGGGAUUGCAUGUCUGGGGGCUAGCGCUGUGGCUUCUCAGCAUGGGGAGAAUGUGCAAAAGGAGUCAGCAGGCUGCAGCCAGCUGUGAGCUGGGGAUGGGGUUUGAACGGGUGACCUUGCUGCUGGUUUAGAGUAUGGCAGAGCUCCGCAUGGGGAUGGGGGUGAGAGCAGCCUCCAGAGGAUGCUCCAGCAGAAGGCGUCUUCACAGCCUCUAUCCACCGGAUCUAUUUGAAGCCCUGGUGAGGAAAGACUGCAAAGAGCCUGCAGUCAGGGUGCGUGGGAUUUGGGCAGAGGAGAAGGGGAAGGGAGUUCAUGCACUGACAUGAGGAUGCUGCUGUGGAUGACAUGCUGGAUGGGAAUGCAGGGCUGGUGUGGGGGAGGAGGGGGGGCAGAGGGGGGGCUGCCUACAUGGCCCCCUGGUACUGAGUGCUGAUGCUUCUUUUUGUGCUGUCUGACAGCAA